rnacentral:rRNA from 1 species
UACGUAGGCAGCAAGCGUUGUUCGGAGUUACUGGGCGUAAAGGGUGUGUAGGCGGUCGUUUAAGUUUGGUGUGAAAUCUCCCGGCUCAACUGGGAGGGUGCGCCGAAUACUGAAUGACUAGAGUGCGGGAGAGGAGAGUGGAAUUCCUGGUGUAGCGGUGAAAUGCGUAGAUAUCAGGAGGAACACCGGUGGUGUAGACGGCUCUCUGGACCGUAACUGACGCUGAGACACGAAAGCGUGGGUAGCAAACAGG